UUUGUACUCCCUUCGUCCGAAAAAGCUUGUCCCAAGCUUGUUCCUCAAAUGGAUGUAUCUAGCACUAACUUGGUGCUAGAUACAUUCAUUUGAGGGACAAGCUUUUUCGGACGGAGGGAGUAAAAG
rnacentral:pre_miRNA from 1 species